rnacentral:rRNA from 1 species
UACGGAGGGUGCGAGCGUUGUCCGGAAUCAUUGGGCGUAAAGGGCGCGUAGGUGGCCCGGUCAGUUCGUGGUGAAAGCGCGGGGCUCAACCCUGCGUCGGCCAUGAAUACUGCCGCGGCUGGAGCACUGUAGAGGCAGGCGGAAUUCCGGGUGUAGCGGUGGAAUGCGUAGAGAUCCGGAAGAACACCGGUGGCGAAGGCGGCCUGCUGGGCAGUUGCUGACACUGAGGCGCGACAGCGUGGGGAGCAAAUGGG